CCAUCUUUCAGCUCCUGCCCAGGGAGAUGGCACUAGUCUAGACAACAAACCCAGCCACCCGCUUUGGAUUUUCUGAGUGACAGACAAGCCUGCAGAGGAGUGACAAUCUGAGUUCCCCGGCAUGUUUGGAGAUAAACACCUCGGUAAAAACACGUCCUUCCUGCCUUGUGUAUUCCAAAGAGUGAGAGACGGUGGUUACCUGCACAGGAUCUUCUCGGGGGCUGUCAGCACCCUGUCAUGGCAGGGAGAGACACUCAUCGUUCUCAACCCCUCUGAGGACUCAAACACAGAAAAAGCAUGCAGUUAGAGUAAACAGAGGAAAAUUUUAAACACAAAGCGAUGAAGGCAUUUGGUGAAGAAGUUGUAAAGCUGGAAAAUUUUUACAGACCCACCAAAACCACCGCUGAUAGGAGAUGGUGACUGAGUUACAGGAUGCCAAGAUGGCCUCAGCUUCUCCCACCUCAUUCUCGUUCCAGACCUGGUCCAGAUUGCCUUAGGAGCCUAGAGCUUUUUAUUUGACCUUGGCAAAUGACUACACCUCAGUUUGAAGAGAUUUUGGAGAGCCACACUACACAUUGACUUUUCUGCCUGAAGGUUGGCCUGUGUAAAGAGCCACGGUGCCUGCAUUUGUUUUUUUGGCUGAAUUGGGCUCCACCCAAGCUGCUCACUACCCUAUCAAACUUCUUCUCCCCCAAGGGACAUAGGUGAUGCUACCUACGUUAGAGAUGGUGUGGGGUUGGGCAUAAGCCAAGGAAUCAUGACUAUGACGCUUCAUAA